UACGUAGGAUCCAAGCGUUGUCCGGAUUUACUGGGUGUAAAGGGUGCGCAGGCGGACUGGUUAGUCUGGGGUGAAAUCUCAUCGCUUAACGGUGAAACUGCCUUAGAUACUGCCAGUCUUGAAUCAGCGAGAGGUUCGUGGAAUUCCGAGUGUAGCAGUGAAAUGUGUAGAUAUUCGGAAGAACACCAGUGGCGAAGGCAGCGAACUGGCGCUCGAUUGACGCUCAGGCACGAAAGCAUGGGGAAUCAAACAGGAGUUAGAA
rnacentral:rRNA from 1 species